rnacentral:hammerhead_ribozyme from 1 species
AUCCAGCUGACGAGUCUAAAAUAAGACGAAACACAUGUCCUAGAU